CCUACGGGAGGCAGCAGUAGGGAAUAUUGCUCAAUGGGGGAAACCCUGAAGCAGCAACGCCGCGUGGGGGAUGAAGGUUUUAGGAUUGUAAACUCCUUUUGUUAGAGAAGAUUAUGACGGUAUCCAACGAAUAAGCACCGGCUAACUCCGUGCCAGCAGCCGCGGUAAUACGGAGGGUGCAAGCGUUACUCGGAAUCACUGGGCGUAAAGAGUGCGUAGGCGGGGUAAUAAGUCAGAUGUGAAAUCCUGUAGCUUAACUACAGAACUGCAUUUGAAACUGGUACUCUGGAGUGUGGGAGAGGUAGGUGGAAUUCUUGGUGUAGGGGUAAAAUCCGUAGAGAUCAAGAGGAAUAC
rnacentral:rRNA from 1 species